rnacentral:lncRNA from 1 species
AACAGGAUACUUGUCCUCCUAAUUCUUUCAUUUGAGCCCUGGAUUACAACUCAAGGGACCAUUGAUACUAUGAAGCCAUAGAAAUCCUUUGGGUGACCAUUGGUGCAUGACACACUUUCAGCCCUAUAACUGUUUCACUUUAGGUAGCUUGCAGGCACACAACAACUGAUGCUGAAAAUUUGAAGUUUCCCUAUACCCUGUGGAUAGCCAAGGAAUGCCUGACAAGCUUUAUCAGGAACUGAGAAUCUUACCAGGUUGAAGGCAAACAACAGAGACUUUAUUCAAUUUGCACAAAAGGGACACUUGUACAGCACAGAUGCUUGAAGGGUACAAGUUUAAAGGCAUAACCAUAAGCAGACAUUUUAUACACGUAAGUUUCUAUUCACUGACAUUGUUCUGUUUUGAAGUUCCUGUCUUUUGCCUUGCUUUCUUUUGGAAAUGCUGUUGGCUUCAUGUAAGAGCUUUUAAGCUUUACUGACUUUCCAAAUCUCACAAGGCUUGUGUUUACCACAGCUUGUUUCCACGAAUAAGCGAUUCCAUAAGCUGUUUCUGCAACUUCAUCCGCAUCUUUAAUCCAAUCAACAAUAUUUGUUUACAUGAGCAGGGUGUUUGCUCUCAUAACCAAAGGAACUUUCAGUCGCUCUUUACACCACUCUAACUGUUCCAAUUUGAUAAUUAACCAUCUCAAUUAAUCGCAGUUGUCUCAUUUUUUUCAGCUACUUUUAAAAUCUCCCAGUUUCUGCCUCUUCUUUCCACUUCCCCCUUGUCCUCAAAUUGCCGCAUAUACUUGAGUAUAAACCAACUCGAAUAUAAGCCGAGGCACCUAAUUUUACCACAAAAAUUGGGAAAACUUAUUGACUCGAGUCAAUAAGCAGCAGCUACAAGUCAAAUUCAAAAAUAAAAAUAGAUAUUAAUAAAAUUGCAUCAUUUGAGGCAUCAGUAGGUUAAAUGUUUUUGAAUAUUUAUAUAAAACUGUAAUUUAAGACAACAAUAAGACUUUAAUAAGAUAAAACUGUCCAACUUUGAAUACCUAUAUACUCAAGUAUAAGCUGACCUGAAUAGAAGCUGGCCAGGACACUCACUCAAGUAUAAGCCGAGGGGAGCUUUUUCAGCCCUAAAAAGGGCUGAAAAACUAGGUUUAUACUCGAGUAUAUACGGUACUUCAAUUACAGCAAACAAAGGGCACUUCCAUUCAGCCAUAUAACUCAGAAUAUCAAAGCAGAUAAUCCACAAUAUUUUUCCUUUGAACUGGAUUAUCUAAGUCCACACUGCCAUAUAAUCCAGUUCAAUGUAGAUUUUAUACAGCUGUGUGGAAGGGGCCGGAGUUAAACAUGCAAAAUUAAUUUGUCUGCCCUGCAAAAUUAAUACAGAUUGACCCCACUUUAACCGCCAUGUCUCAAUGCUAUAGAAUGCUGAGAGAUAUAGUUUUUCCAAGGUCUUUCACCUUCUCUGACAAAGACUGCUUGGGGCCUCACCAAACUACAACUCCCAGGAUUCCAUUGCAUUUAGCCAUGACAGAUAAAAGUGGUGUCAAACUACAUUAAAUCUACAAUGUAGAUGCACCCCAGGUUCAGGCAGGAUGGGUUGUAUUUGCCCCAUUGAGUGAAAAGCAAUAUAUAGUAGAGUCUUACUUAUCCGACAUAAAUGGGCCAGCAGAACGUUGGAUAAGUGAAUAUGUUGGAUAAUAAGGAGAGAUUAAGGAAAAGCAUAUUAAACAUCAAAUUACAUUAUGAUUUUACAAAUUAAGCACCAAAACAUCAGGUUUUACAACAAAUUUGACAGAAAAAGCAGUUUAGUACACAGCAAUAUUAUGUAGUAAUUACUGUAUUUACAAAUUUAGCACCAAAACAUCGCAAUGUGUUGAAAAGAUUGACUGCAAAAACAUUGACUACUAAAAGGCAGACUGCGUUGGAGAAUCCAGAAUGUUGGAUAAGUUGGAUAAGUGAGAUGUUAUAUAAUAUUUGAGAAAGGAUUGUAUUUUAAUUUUACAGGAUUUCAGCUAUCAGGGUUGUUGUUUUUUAAAAAGGCAAGGCCUUAUACAAUCCACCAUUUAUACCAAAACAUCAAUAUCCUUGUAAAUUUUAUGCAAACCUAUGUCUUCUUUUUCUGUUAUUUCAGUGACAUAU